AGCUUUUUGAAUCCUUGCAGAGAUUUAGUCAGACACCAACCAAUUAAGAUUGAUCAGACCUUCAAGAUAAAUGAAGUU
rnacentral:pre_miRNA from 1 species